rnacentral:rRNA from 1 species
AGUGAACGCUGGCGGUAGGCCUAACACAUGCAAGUCGAUCGGCAGCACAGUAAGAGCUUGCUCUUACGGGUGGCGAGUGGCGGACGGGUGAGGAAUACAUCGGAAUCUACUUUUUCGUGGGGGAUAACGUAGGGAAACUUACGCUAAUACCGCAUGCGACCUACGGGUGAAAGCAGGGGAUCUUCGGACCUUGCGCGAUUGAAUGAGCCGAUGUCGGAUUAGCUAGUUGGCGGGGUAAAGGCCCACCAAGGCGACGAUCCGUAGCUGGUCUGAGAGGAUGAUCAGCCACACUGGAACUGAGACACGGUCCAGACUCCUACGGGAGGCAGCAGUGGGGAAUAUUGGACAAUGGGCGCAAGCCUGAUCCAGCCAUACCGCGUGGGUGAAGAAGGCCUUCGGGUUGUAAAGCCCUUUUGUUGGGAAAGAAAAGCAGCAGGUUAAUACCCCGCUGUUCUGACGGUACCCAAAGAAUAAGCACCGGCUAACUUCGUG